ensembl:lncRNA
CAGCAACUGAGGGCUUCUACAGAGCACUGGCACAGCAGGCUCAGGUGUUGCCAGUGUCAGUGAUUGGAAACAAGCCACACCAGCUCUCCCUGCAGAUGAGACCUGCCACACAAACAGGCCAAAAAGAAGGAAGUGAGAUAUAUCCCCCACGGUGGACUGCCACAGACACACUGAUCGGGGAGCGUGCCAUGUCAGUGGAGUGAGAGGGACUUAUGGAAGGUGCUGCAUUGAGUUCUUCAUAUUUGAAGGUCAGUGGCAGCCUGACAUGUACUCAGAGGGGAGAGAGGACCCAGUUGAAACAGAUGGGAAGUGCUGAUUCGUGUACAGAAGAAGAGAAAGUCAAUCAAUUUGAAAUGGGAGUCCAGAAAUGGACAUGGCAAGCCAGCGUAAUCAAAUCUAAAGCUUAUGGCAAAGAGAAAUGUUCCCGGAAUUUAAUUGAGAUCAAUGUGAUUAUUCUUGCUGGGAAUUAAAUCUCAUUGUUACGCUUUUACUCUAGAUGUAGGUUGGUAGCUUAGUUAAAAUUUUGUACAUCUACCUCCUAUCCCAGACUUUAUGUCC